rnacentral:tRNA from 1 species
GCAUUGGUGGUUCAAUGGUAGAACUCCCGACUUCCAUGCAGGAGAACCAGGUUCAAUUCCCAGCCAAAGCA